UACGAAGGGGGCUAGCGUUGCUCGGAAUCACUGGGCGUAAAGGGUGCGUAGGCGGGUCUUUAAGUCAGGGGUGAAAUCCUGGAGCUCAACUCCAGAACUGCCUUUGAUACUGAAGAUCUUGAGUCCGGGAGAGGUGAGUGAAACUGCGAGUGUAGAGGUGAAAUUCGUAGAUAUUCGCAAGAACACCAGUGGCGAAGGCGGCUCACUGGCCCGGUACUGACGCUGAGGCACGAAAGCGUGGGGAGCAAACAGG
rnacentral:rRNA from 1 species